rnacentral:rRNA from 1 species
CCUACGCUUGAAUACAUUAGUCAUGGAUAAUGAAAUAGGACGUUCGAACCUAUUUGUUGGUUUCUUAGGAUNAACGUAAUGAUUAAUAGGGAUAUUGGGGGCGAUUAGUAUUCAAUUGUCAGAGGUGAAAUUCUUUGGAUUUAUUGAAGACUAACUACUGCGAAAAGCAUUUUGCCAAGGAUGUUUUCAUUAAUCAAGAACGAAAGUUAGGGGAUCGAAGACGAUCAGAUACCGUCGUAGUCUUAACCAUAAACUAUGCCGACUAGGGAUCGGAUGAUGUUAAUUUUUUAAUGACUCAUUCGGCGCCUUACA